UGAGGAAUAUUGGUCAAUGGACGGAAGUCUGAACCAGCCAAGUAGCGUGCAGGAUGACGGCCCUAUGGGUUGUAAACUGCUUUUGUAUGGGGAUAAAGUUAGGGACGUGUCCCUAUUUGCAGGUACCAUACGAAUAAGGACCGGCUAAUUCCGUGCCAGCAGCCGCGGUAAUACGGAAGGUCCAGGCGUUAUCCGGAUUUAUUGGGUUUAAAGGGAGCGUAGGCUGGAGAUUAAGUGUGUUGUGAAAUGUAGACGCUCAACGUCUGAAUUGCAGCGCAUACUGGUUUCCUUGAGUACGCACAACGUUGGCGGAAUUCGUCGUGUAGCGGUGAAAUGCUUAGAUAUGACGAAGAACUCCGAUUGCGAAGGCAGCUGACGGGAGCGCAACUGACGCUUAAGCUCGAAGGUGCGGGUAUCAAACAGGAUUAGAUACCCUGGUAGUCCGCACAGUAAACGAUGGAUGCCCGCUGUUGGUACCUGGUAUCAGCGGCUAAGCGAAAGCAUUAAGCAUCCCAUCUGGGGAGUACGCCGGCAACGGUG
rnacentral:rRNA from 1 species